GAUGAACGCUGGCGGCGUGCCUAAUACAUGCAAGUCGAGCGAACGGACGAGAAGCUUGCUUCUCUGAUGUUAGCGGCGGACGGGUGAGUAACACGUGGAUAACCUACCUAUAAGACUGGGAUAUCUUCGGGAAACCGUAGCUAAUACCGGAUAAUAUUUUGAACCGCAUGGUUCAAAAGUGAAAGACGGUCUUGCUGUCACUUAUAGAUGGAUCCGCGCUGCAUUAGCUAGUUGGUAAGGUAACGGCUUACCAAGGCAACGAUGCAUAGCCGACCUGAGAGGGUGAUCGGCCACACUGGAACUGAGACACGGUCCAGACUCCUACGGGAGGCAGCAGUAGGGAAUCUUCCGCAAUGGGCGAAAGCCUGACGGAGCAACGACGCGUGAGUGAUGAAGGUCUUCGGAUCGUAAAACUCUGUUAUUAGGGAAGAACAUAUGUGUAAGUAACUGUGCACAUCUUGACGGUACCUAAUCAGAAAGCCACGGCUAACUACGUG
rnacentral:rRNA from 1 species